rfam:Haliscomenobacter hydrossis DSM 1100, complete genome.
CGUCAGUGGAGUCCAGAAACCACUAAAAAACGGGGCGAGACCGAAAAGCCUUACGAGUAGGAAAAAA